CGUGUCCACGGUGUGAAGGUGCCUCCUCGCCUUCCCUUGGGCCUGAUUGCUUGCUUCUUUUUCGUGUACAAGGGAGUGAAUGAGAAGUCGGCAUCUCCUGCAGCAGCUCGCGUGGAAACUCGAUGAGGGAGGGAGACGGAGGUGCUGCGGCAAAAGAUGAAAGGGAAGACGGCUGACUGAAGCGAGCACGUUUCUCGCUUUCUGCUGACUGAGGCUUCAAGAAGAUCCUGAGCGACGCUUUUGUCCAAGCGUAACCAAGUCCGGCGUGCUGCUCCUCGAGGAAUGUUCUGGGGAAGGAGCCUCUCAGGAGUUCGGUUCAGAACGGGCCAAAACCUGAAAGGUUUUGAGACGUGGCACAGCCUGUUUUUUGACAGAGUGUAUUUCCAAGCCGAGGAAGGCUGGGGCGGACAGGGAGAAAUGCGCAGUCUUCUCCGUGUGCGCAGCGGCACGGUAUUCACUCCCAGCUAUACCCCGCUCGCCCCCGAAGUACAGCGCGCCGCUGCGAUCACGCUAUUGUUCAUGGCAAUUGUGUAAGCAAGGCCCAGAGCAGUGGACUGGAUAAAUUAUGCAUGUCUGCGUGUCGGUGCUUAUGUAGGCUGUGUCACUGGAUUAGAGCCGUGUAUAGGCCAUCUUGGUGGUUUGAAUAGAAUAUUUUGGCCAUCACUAAUCAAGAGCCUCCAGCAGUGACCCCAAAGAACAAGGUAACGCUCUGGGUGCUGGUGGCAUUUGCAGCUCUCGCUGCAGAAUACAGAAAGGGGCGGGGGGGAAGGCAGGCAGGCGAAGGUAAUAUUUAGCAUUUGCGUGUUCU
rnacentral:lncRNA from 1 species